GAACGCUAGCGGCAGGCUUAACACAUGCAAGUCGAGGGGCAGCAUGAAGGUUAGCAAUAACCUUUGAUGGCGACCGGCGCAAGGGUGCGUAACGCGUGAGCAACUUGCCCGUUUCUGGGGGAUAACCGGUGGAAACGCCGACUAAUACCCCAUGGCAUUGAUUUCAGGCAUCUGUUAUCAAUUAAAGAAUUUCGGAUAAGGAUAGGCUCGCGUGACAUUAGCUAGACGGCGGGGUAACGGCCCACCGUGGCGACGAUGUCUAGGGGUUCUGAGAGGAAGGUCCCCCACACUGGAACUGAGACACGGUCCAGACUCCUACGGGAGGCAGCAGUGAGGAAUAUUGGUCAAUGGUCUGACGACUGAACCAGCCAUGCCGCGUGAAGGUCACGGCCCUAUGGGUCUUAAACUUCUUUUGCGAGGGAGCAAUAAGGCGCACGUGUGCGUCGAUGAGAGUACCUUGCGAAUAAGCAUCGGCUAACUCCGUG
rnacentral:rRNA from 1 species